rnacentral:lncRNA from 10 species
GGAUGUUAUAGAAUUGGAGUGAUUUUCUUGCUGUAAUUACAGUUUUAUAAGGAAGGACAUUAUUCUAUAUAUGUUUUUCUAUAUGUCAAUGGAAUGGAUUAAAAACAAACCAGAAUGAUUUCUACCCUUAGACCUGCCACUCUGACUCCUCUGCUCUGCUUAUUAUACAGGAGUUCAAGGGUAUGAGGCAAGACCUAGAACAAAACAGCUCCAAAGAGCUUUCUCCCAUUCUGAAGUAAGUUGCUCUUGUUUCUGUCUUAGGAGCAGAGGUGAGAUGGAGAUUCUUGUGUGAGGGACACGUGGAGGGGGCACUCUCAGGAACAACCUCUGAGGACUGAUGGAAGCAGGGCAUGUGGUGCCAAACACCCCUGUGAGCUCUGACUCCCAGGCAAAGGGGAUCCAGACAAGAGGGAUAAGCUGUGAAUGGGCACAGCCAACACCUCCAGCUACUGAGGGCAGGUGCACCAGCGCGGUGAAGGAAAACAGAAGUGGAUCGAAAUUAUCGAAGGCAUCUGGAUCGGGAGGGAAGAAGGAUGAAUCAUACCAGUCGGUUGAAGAAGCUAUAUGACGUAUGUACCAUGAUAUGUGGAAUAGAACAAUAAAAUUCUGCUUAACGUCACCUCUGCUUCUCUUUAUGUUUGUAAGCAUGAAAGAUGAUUGUUAGAUCUGCUUAUAACCAGAGAAAAUUAUUUCUUUAAGAAUGUGUGAGUGUUUUGAAGGAUGAAAUGCAAGGAACUUCAAAAACAUUUAUAAGAUAUUAAAAUCGAUUUACUCAAAAUGCAAGUAGAGAACAAAGAUUAAAAUUGUAUUAAAUAUCUAUAAAACAAAGUUUAAUUUUAACUUCUACUAAAUACAUGUAUAGUUAAACGUUCUUUACAUGUCAAAAUAAUGUGUGAAUUGGAUUUUCUCACUUUGCAGUAAUUGCUUACUGUGAAUAAAGUUGGCUAAAAAAAUCCUAACAAAUAGCAAAUUAAAUAGUUACUUUUAGUUAAGUAAUUUCAAAAGAAAAAAGUGAGAAAACUAAUGUCAAAGCAUUUUGAACCUGAAAUCACAUAUAAUGUGCAAUGUUCUAAAAUGAUUGUAUAUUAUACAUCUCCAGUGACAUCCCCAAGUUAAUAGUAUCUAUUGCUUCAAAAGAACUUAAUCCAUACAGACUUGAGAGGGGAAAAAAAUGGCAUAAGAAACCUGAUCUAUUUAUUUUGCAUUUCUUGUUUAUCAUAAUUCUUAAAUGAUUAUGCAACCAGGGAUUUCCUAUCUGUCAGAUAAAUCAGAUUCACUAGCAGUUUUUAUAAGCUAUGUGUUAUCUCCUUAUUAAUCUGAGCUAUGCCUGGGUCAUCUUACUGUAUUGUUGGGAUGGUAGUUGAGAUGUAAGCCACUGUCACAGAGAGGAGAGGAGGUGCCACUGCUCUGGUCACUUGGAGCACCUGCAGGAGACAAAAUCAUAACAUUCCACUGGUGAGAAUGCCAUAACCUUCUAAACUGAUGCAUUCCAUUACACUUUCAAGGAUACUCAGUAAUAUCAAGUAAAUCAGAUAUUACAAUACAAUUUUAUCUCAGUUAUACUAAAGCCAGAGUUUUGCAAGUAAGCCAAGUGACUACAGGUAUCUGGGCACUAAAAGAGACUCACAAAAAUUUGUCUUUGAUUUCAGAAACAUUAAGACUUUAUAAAGGAAAAUGUACAGCCUUAUAAAAAGUAUUAUUUUGUUUAAUUAUCUAAAGUGGCCUGCUCUUAGAAACCAUACUUAAAAUAAUACAAGAUUUUGGUUGUCUACAGAGUUCUAUUUAAUGUCAUAUUUCAACCAAGUGGUAAAUCCUACCCUUAGAAACUAUAAUUUUCC